GGCUGGAUCACCUCCUUUAAAGGGAGACCAGCUAGAGCAGCAGUGAAAAAGUAUUAACUGUUGUAUACUAGACAUCCCUGGUCGAGCAAGGAACAAAGGUAGGAAAUUAACUUUCAAACUAGAGUUAUGGUUCGAUUAUGGGCUAUUAGCUCAGGUGGUUAGAGCGCACCCCUGAUAAGGGUGAGGUCCCUGGUUCAAGUCCAGGAUAGCCCACCUCAAAAAAGCGGGGGUAUAGCUCAGUUGGUAGAGCGCUGCCUUUGCAAGGCAGAAGUCAGCGGUUCGAGUCCGCUUACCUCCAGGAGAAAAGCCAAAUCAAGAACUCAGCAAUCAGACCUAAAAAAAUUAAGUCAGACUGCUGGGAAUCUACAUCCCAGUCAGAACCUAGAAAACUGCAUAGUCAAAGAAGUAAAAAGUAACUGAAAAGGAGUUAGAUGAAAUCAAACAUCUAACAAAGUCCAGUCAGGUAGAUUUUAAGUGGUCAAGUGAAUAAGGGCUGACGGUGGAUACCUAGGCAC
rnacentral:tRNA from 1 species